AUUGAACGCUGGCGGAAUGCUUUACACAUGCAAGUCGAACGGUAGAGGGGGCAACCCCUUGAGAGUGGCGAACGGGUGAGUAAUGUAUCGGAACGUGCCCAGUCGUGGGGGAUAACGUAGUGAAAAUUACGCUAAUACCGCAUACGAUCUAUGGAUGAAAGCGGGGGAUCGCAAGACCUCGCGCGAUUGGAGCGGCCGAUAUCAGAUUAGGUAGUUGGUGGGGUAAAGGCUCACCAAGCCAACGAUCUGUAGCUGGUCUGAGAGGACGACCAGCCACACUGGAACCGAGACACGGUCCAGACUCCUACGGGAGGCAGCAGUGGGUAAUUUUGGACAAUGGACGCAAGUCUGAUCCAGCCAUUCCGCGUGCAGGACGAAGGCCUUCGGGUUGUAAACUGCUUUUGUACGGAACGAAAAAGCUCUUAUUAAUACUAGGAGUCCAUGACGGUACCGUAAGAAUAAGCACCGGCUAACUACGUGCCAGCCGCCGCAGUAA
rnacentral:rRNA from 1 species